rnacentral:rRNA from 1 species
GAUACCCGCUGAACUUAAGCAUAUCAAUAAGCGGAGGAAAAGAAACCAACAGGGAUUGCCCCAGUAACGGCGAGUGAAGCGGCAAGAGCUCAAAUUUGAAAUCUGGCCCCGUCGGGGUCCGAGUUGUAAUUUGCAGAGGAUGCUUCGGGUGCGGCCCCCGUCUAAGUGCCCUGGAACGGGCCGCCGGAGAGGGUGAGAGUCCCGUCUGGGACGGGUGGCCGCGUCCGUGUGAAGCUCCUUCGACGAGUCGAGUUGUUUGGGAAUGCAGCUCUAAAUGGGUGGUAAAUUUCAUCUAAAGCUAAAUAUUGGCCGGAGACCGAUAGCGCACAAGUAGAGUGAUCGAAAGAUGAAAAGCACUUUGAAAAGAGAGUUAAAUAGCACGUGAAAUUGUUGAAAGGGAAGCGCUUGCGACCAGACUCGCCCGCGGGGGUUCAGCCGGCACUCGUGCCGGUGCACUCCCCCGCGGGCGGGCCAGCGUCGGUUUGGGCGGUCGGUCAAAGGCCCCCGGAAUGUGUCGCCCCUCGGGGCGUCUUAUAGCCGGGGGUGCAAUGCGGCCAGCCCGGACCGAGGACCGCGCUUCGGCAUGGACGCUGGCGUAAUGGUCGUAAGCGACC